AUUUUUUUAUAACUGUCAGCAGCCAUUUCAUUGUGACAUAUAUAAUUUUUCAAUUAAAUCUUAUGUGUAAAUUUAUUCAGUGAAUUUAGUAGCCACUCACGUGAAAACUUAAAACAUCUCACAACACCGAGAGCCAACCAUUAGUCACUUGGGAAAACAAGUUUUUGGAACGUCCCAGCUCCUUUUCGUUUUUGCACCUGGGCCUACAGGAGGCAUGGUUUUGCACCAUCCUGGUGCUCAUUUCCGGGGAUGCAUCAGCAACCUUUUAGGAGUCGUUUGGGUUUGUUUGAGAACAAUCAGUCUUGUAAAGUUGAGUAACUAUUGUGUUUUAUAUCUCAGACAUUUAUAGGAUGCACUAUGUUUACUAAUUACUUUGUUUAAGAUUUAGCUUGCAUUUAUUUGGUUUUUUAUAUAGGUACAUAUAAGUUUAGUAAGUUCCAAAACAUGUAUAAUUUUGCGGUACUGUACGUUGAGCUCGGCGUAUCUGCCAAAAAGGUAUUACUUUUUAUAUUUUAUUGUUAAUUUAGGUCGAUUUUAUGUCAUUAUGUAAAUUUAGUUUAUAUUAGUUGCUUGUUUCCCAGAUAUUUCGUUGUUCAUUUGCUCGUCUUCAUUUGUUCUAUUAUUUAAGGUCGUUGUUUAGGUAUUUAUCUUAACUUCAAUUAUUUAUUUCACAUUCAUUUGUUUAUUUAACUUUGCUUAACUCAUUUUUUUGUAUUUUCUUUAGUCAUGCUUAUGCCUGCUGAUUUAUACAUAUUUCAUAUUUGUCCGAUUUUAAUUUAGUUGUACGUAGCAAGCGUACUAUAACCAUUUGGUAAAAGUCUCAUGUGAGUUGUACCCUAUAUGUAAGUAAGAGGUAUGUAAUAAUUUUGUAACUGGUAACAUUAUUGUUGUUAUCUUAGAUAUAGCUUUUGUAUAACAUAUGUCAUUUUAGAGUCACUUAAUAAUUCAAUUUGGUUUAACUCAGAGAUUGUCAAACAUCUAGUAGUUAUUUUUAAUAAAUAUUUAUUUAUUUUGUA
rnacentral:lncRNA from 1 species